CUCGCUGUAGCUAAGAUCAGUCCACUGCAGCAGGAGUUUCAAGAACAGCAGCACAAAAAUAAUGACUUAACUGGAUAGAAAAAAAGGCACAUAUUUUCAGGAAGGCCUCUUUAUUCUUAGAAGUUACCCUUCAAGAUGACAAGUGGUGCAAACUCUUCAGGAUCUUACCUGCCCUCAGAAAUAAGAGUUCUAAAAUAGAUGACAACUACUUGAAGGAAUUGAAUGAGGACUUAAAGCUAAGGAAGCAGGAACUGCUAGAGAUGCUCAAACCUCUAGAAGAUAAAAACAACCUCUUAUUUCAAAAGUUAAUGUCUAACUUGGAGGAAAAACAAAGGAGCUUCAGAUCAUGAGACAGAUCAUGGCAGGGAAGGGGUGUGAGGAAUCCUCGGUCAUGGAGCUCCUUAAGGAAGCAGAGGAGAUGAAACAGAACUUGAAAGGAAAAACAAGAUGCUUCGGAAGGAAAUGGAGAUGCUAUGGAACAAGCAUUCGAGGCAGAAGAACUUAGUGAUCAACAAAAAGCACCACAGACAAAAAACAAGGCAGACUUGCAGGAUGGAAAGGCAAGUGGACUGCAUGUACUUAAAAUUUCAAGAUUGUCGAUGUCACACAGCUGGA
rnacentral:lncRNA from 1 species